GACGAACGCUGGCGGCGUGCUUAACACAUGCAAGUCGAACGGAAAGGCCCUGCUUUUGUGGGGUGCUCGAGUGGCGAACGGGUGAGUAACACGUGAGUAACCGCCCUUGACUUUGGGGUAACUUUAGGAAACUGGGGCUAAUUCCGGAUAGGAGCUCCUGCCUCAUGGUUGGGGUUGGGAAGGUUCGGCGGGUGGGGAUGGACUCGCGGCUUAUCAGCUUGUUGGUGGGGUAGUGGCUUACCAAGGCUUUGACGGGUAGCCGGCCUGAGAGGGUGACCGGCCACAUUGGGACUGAGAUACGGCCCAGACUCCUACGGGAGGCAGCAGUGGGGAAUAUUGCACAAUGGGCGGAAGCCUGAUGCAGCAACGCCGCGUGCGGGAUGACGGCCUUCGGGUUGUAAACCGCUUUCGCCUGUGACGAAGCGUGAGUGACGGUAAUGGGUAAAGAAGCACCGGCUAACUACGUG
rnacentral:rRNA from 1 species